rnacentral:tRNA from 1 species
ACCUGGCUGGCUCAGUCAGUAGAGCAUGAGACUUUUCAUCUCAGGGUUGUGAGUUCGAGCCCCGUGUUGGGAG